AUUGAACGCUGGCGGCAUGCUUUACACAUGCAAGUCGAACGGGAACAGGCCUUCGGGUGCUGACGAGUGGCGAACGGGUGUGUAAUGGAUCGGAACGUGCCCAGAGGUGGGGGAUAACGCAGCGAAAGCUGUGUUAAUACUGCAUGUGAUCUGAGGUUGAACGUGGGGGAACGGGCAGCAAUGGUUGUCCUCGCGACUGUGCAGCCGCCGAUGUCGGGUUAGGGAGUUGGUCGGGUUAGGGCCUACCAAGACGACGAUCUGUAGCUAGUAUGAGAGGGCGAGCAGGCCCACUGGAACGGGGACACGGCCAAGACGCCUCCGAGAGGCAGCAGUGGGUAAUUUUGGACGAUGGACGCAAGAAUGAUGCAGCAAUGCCGCGUGCGGGAAGAAGGCCUUCGGGUUGUGAGCAGCAUUUGUACGGAACGAAAAGGCUCUGGCUAAUACCUGAAGCUGAUGACGGUACCGUAAGAAUAAGCACCGGCUAACUACGUG
rnacentral:rRNA from 1 species